rnacentral:rRNA from 1 species
GAUGAACGCUGGCGGCGUGCCUAAUACAUGCAAAUCGAGCGAAUGGAUUAAGAGCUUGCUCUUAUGAAGUUAGCGGCGGACGGGUGAGUAACACGUGGGUAACCUGCCCAUAAGACUGGGAUAACUCCGGGAAACCGGGGCUAAUACCGGAUAACAUUUUGAACCGCAUGGUUCGAAAUUGAAAGGCGGCUUCGGCUGUCACUUAUGGACGGACCCGCGUCGCAUUAGCUAGUUGGUGAGGUAACGGCUCACCAAGGCAACGAUGCGUAGCCGACCUGAGAGGGUGAUCGGCCACACUGGGACUGAGACACGGCCCAGACUCCUACGGGAGGCAGCAGUAGGGAAUCUUCCGCAAUGGACGAAAGUCUGACGGAGCAACGCCGCGUGAGUGAUGAAGGCUUUCGGGUCGUAAAACUCUGUUGUUAGGGAAGAACAAGUGCUAGUUGAAUAAGCUGGCACCUUGACGGUACCUGACCAGAAAGCCACGGCUAACUACGUGCCAGCCGCCGCCGUAA